UAGGGAAUCUUCCACAAUGGACGCAAGUCUGAUGGAGCAACGCCGCGUGAGUGAAGAAGGUCUUCGGAUCGUAAAGCUCUGUUGUUGGUGAAGAAGGAUAGAGGCAGUAAAUGGUCUUUAUUUGACGGUAAUCAACCAGAAAGUCACGGCUAACUACGUGCCAGCAGCCGCGGUAAUACGUAGGUGGCAAGCGUUGUCCGGAUUUAUUGGGCGUAAAGCGAGCGCAGGCGGAAUGAUAAGUCUGAUGUGAAAGCCCACGGCUCAACCGUGGAACUGCAUCGGAAACUGUCAUUCUUGAGUGCAGAAGAGGAGAGUGGAACUCCAUGUGUAGCGGUGGAAUGCGUAGAUAUAUGGAAGAACACCAGUGGCGAAGGCGGCUCUCUGGUCUGCAACUGACGCUGAGGCUCGAAAGCAUGGGUAGCGAACAGGAUUAGAUACCCUGGUAGUCCAUGCCGUAAAACGAUGAGCGCUAGGUGUUGGGGACUUUCCGGCCCUCAGUGCCGCAGCAAAACGCAUUAAGCGCUCCGCCUGGGGAGUACGACCGCAAGGUUG
rnacentral:rRNA from 1 species